rnacentral:sRNA from 1 species
CGAGAGAGCGUCAGCGAGAGAGCGUCAGCGAGAGAGCGUCAGCGAGAGAGCGUUGCCGCAGGCAACGACCCGUAGGGCGAAGCGCGCAGCGCUGAGUAAUCCUUCCCCCACCACCA